GUUGGCAAGCUGGAGACCCAAGAAGAGCCAAUAUUUCAGUUUGAGUCUGAAGGCAGGAAAAGACUGAUGUCCCAUCUCAAAGCAGUCAGGCAGAGGGAGUUCCCUCUUGUUCUCAGUCAAGGAAGGAUGGCGCAGUGCUCCCGCUGUUCCGAGGCUCAGCUAUCCUGAGGGAGGCAGGGAAUUUUGAUCAGCUUCUGAAGAAUCACCUCAUCUCUCCCUGCAGAGAGCACAGAGCACAGGACUUCACGUUAUGUCAACAUCUCUUGCAAAAGCCCAGCUCCUAGAGAGCAGGAGCCUUCCCAGACCGUGUCAAAUUACCUCGGGGAUGGAGAGACUUAACAUGGCACUAGUAGAAAUCAAAUGGCAGAGCUCAGGUUUCUGGUAAGAGCAGGUCCUGGCUCCUUCCUUACAUGAAGACCUGUCCAACACUGCUUGCUAUCUCCUUCUGUGCCAUCUGAAAUCUGUGCCUCAAACCGACCAGCAGCCUUCUAAAUCUCUUUAUUCUAAAUUUGGCACAAACUUCUUUCAUCUGUGACUUUUGGAGUCUUCUGCUGCAUCACCCCAUGAUCCAACUUGGAGUUGGGAUCUGUUUCAUUGACUUACCAGCUCUCAUCAUAAAGAAGCUUUUUUAGCCCCCAAAGAGUCUGAACAACAGACCUCCUCCACAUGGAAAUGGUGAAUUGAUCACACUGAAAACUAUUUUGAAGUCAAGCAAGGCCAGCUUAUGUCGCUCUCCUGCAGCAGAGAAUGACUUUCACUUGCUCACUUUCACACUUGCAACCUUUCAUUUUCCACAAACUGUCACUGUGAUCUGUUAGAAAUAUAAAUUAUGUCAUUUCACUCUUCUCCCUAAAACUCUUCAUAGAUUGCACAUUCUUUAUUCCUAACAUCUUUUAUACACUCAUUUCAG
rnacentral:lncRNA from 1 species